AGUGAACGCUGGCGGUAGGCCUAACACAUGCAAGUCGAACGGCAGCACAGGAGAGCUUGCUCUCUGGGUGGCGAGUGGCGGACGGGUGAGGAAUGCAUCGGAAUCUACUCUUUCGUGGGGGAUAACGUAGGGAAACUUACGCUAAUACCGCAUACGACCUACGGGUGAAAGCCGGGGACCUUCGGGCCUGGCGCGAAUGAAUGAGCCGAUGCCCGAUUAGCUAGUUGGCGGGGUAAGAGCCCACCAAGGCGGCGAUCGGUAGCUGGUCUGAGAGGAUGAUCAGCCACACUGGAACUGAGACACGGUCCAGACUCCUACGGGAGGCAGCAGUGGGGAAUAUUGGACAAUGGGCGCAAGCCUGAUCCAGCCAUACCGCGUGGGUGAAGAAGGCCUUCGGGUUGUAAAGCCCUUUUGUUGGGAAAGAAAAGCAAUCGGUUAAUACCCGGUUGUUCUGACGGUACCCAAAGAAUAAGCACCGGCUAACUUCGUGCCAGCAGCCGCGGUAAAAC
rnacentral:rRNA from 1 species